UACGGAGGGUGCAAGCGUUAUCCGGAUUCACUGGGUUUAAAGGGUGCGUAGGUGGGAAUGUAAGUCAGUGGUGAAAUCUCCGUGCUUAACACGGAAACUGCCAUUGAUACUAUGUUUCUUGAAUUAUCUGGAGGUCAGCGGAAUAUGUCAUGUAGCGGUGAAAUGCUUAGAUAUGACAUAGAACACCAAUUGCGAAGGCAGCUGGCUACAGGUGGAUUGACACUGAGGCACGAAAGCGUGGGGAGCAAACAGG
rnacentral:rRNA from 1 species